rnacentral:rRNA from 1 species
AUACGGAGGAUCCGAGCGUUAUCCGGAUUUAUUGGGUUUAAAGGGAGCGUAGGCGGAUUAUUAAGUCAGUUGUGAAAGUUUGCGGCUCAACCGUAAAAUUGCAGUUGAUACUGGUAGUCUUGAGUGCAGCAGAGGUAGGCGGAAUUCGUGGUGUAGCGGUGAAAUGCUUAGAUAUCACGAAGAACUCCGAUUGCGAAGGCAGCUUACUGGACUGUAACUGACGCUGAUGCUCGAAAGUGUGGGUAUCAAACAGGAUUAGAUACCCUGGUAGUCCACACAGUAAACGAUGAAUACUCGCUGUUUGCGAUAUACAGCAAGCGGCCAAGCGAAAGCAUUAAGUAUUCCACCUGGGGAGUACGCCGGCAACGGUGAAACUCAAAGGAAUUGGCGGGG